AGUGAACGCUGGCGGCAGGCCUAAUACAUGCAAGUCGAGCGAGAAAGCUCCUUCGGGAGUUAGUAAAGCGGCGAACGGGUGAGCAACACGUGAGAAUCUACCCUUUAGUGAAGAAUACCCUCGAGAAAUCGAGGCUAAUACUGCAUACGUCCCUUCGGGGAGAAAGAUGGCCUCUUUGCUAUCGCUAAAGGAUGAGCUUGCGUACUAUUAGCUAGUUGGCGGGGUAAAGGCCCACCAAGGCAAUGAUGGUUAACCGGCCUGAGAGGGUGUACGGUCACACUGGAACUUAGACACGGUCCAGACUCCUACGGGAGGCAGCAGUGAGGAAUCUUGCGCAAUGGGCGAAAGCCUGACGCAGCGACGCCGCGUGGAGGAUGACGGUUUUCGGAUUGUAAACUCCUGUUAAGCGGGAAGAAAGCCUUGUUUCUAAUACAAGCAAGGUAUGACGGUACCGCUAGAGAAAGCACCGGCUAACUUCGUGCCAGCAGCCGCGGUAAAGA
rnacentral:rRNA from 1 species